rnacentral:rRNA from 1 species
AAUACUGGACAUUGUGGGCAACCCUGAUCCAGCAUUGCCGUGUGUGUGAAGAAGGUCUUCGGUUUGUAAAGCACUCUAAGUUGGGAGGAAGGUUUUUAGGUUACUACCCUUAUGUUUUGUCGUUACCGACAGAUUAAGCACCUGCUAACUCUGUGCCAGCAGCCCCGGUAAUACAGAGGGUGCAAGCGUUAAUAGGAAUUACGGGGCGUAAAGCGCGCGUAGAUGGUUCAGUAAAAUGGGUGUGAAAUCCCAGAGCUUAACCUGGGAACUGCUUUCAUAACUGCUGAGCUAGAGUACGGUAGAGAGUAGUGGAAUUUCCUGUGUAGCGGUGAAAUGCGUAGAUAUAGGAAGGAACACCAGUGGCGAAGGCGAAUACCUGGACUGAUACUGACACUGGAGUGCGAAAGCGUGGGGAGCAAACA